rnacentral:rRNA from 1 species
GAUGAACGCUGGCGGCGUGCCUAAUACAUGCAAGUCGAGCGAACGGACGAGAAGCUUGCUUCUCUGAUGUUAGCGGCGGACGGGUGAGUAAAACGUGGAUAACCUACCUAUAAGACUGGGAUAACUUCGGGAAACCGUAGCUAAUACCGGAUAAUAUUUUGAACCGCAUGGUUCAAAAGUGAAAGACGGUCUUGCUGUCACUUAUAGAUGGAUCCGCGCUGCAUUAGCUAGUUGGUAAGGUAACGGCUUACCAAGGCAACGAUGCAUAGCCGACCUGGGAGGGUGAUCGGCCACACUGGAACUGAGACACGGUCCAGACUCCUACGGGAGGCAGCAGUAGGGAAUCUUCCGCAAUGGGCGAAAGCCUGACGGAGCAACGCCGCGUGAGUGAUGAAGGUCUUCGGAUCGUAAAACUCUGUUAUUAGGGAAGAACAUAUGUGUAAGUAACUGUGCACAUCUUGACGGUACCUAAUCAGAAAGCCACGGCUAACUACGUG